rnacentral:rRNA from 1 species
UGCCAGACUCCUACGGGAGGCAGCAGUGAGGAAUAUUGGUCAAUGGGCGGGAGCCUGAACCAGCCAAGCCGCGUGAAGGAAGAAGGCGCCAGGCGUCGUAAACUUCUUUUGUCGGGGAACAAAGGGCGCCACGCGUGGCGUUGUGAGUGUACCCGAAGAAAAAGCAUCGGCUAACUCCGUGCCAGCAGCCGCGGUAAUACGGAGGAUGCGAGCGUUAUCCGGAUUUAUUGGGUGUAAAGGGCGUGUAGCCGGGCUGACAAGUCAGAUGUGAAAUCCGGGGGCUCAACCCCCGAACUGCAUUUGAAACUGUUGGUCUUGAGUAUCGGAGAGGCAGGCGGAAUUCCUAGUGUAGCGGUGAAAUGCGUAGAUAUCAGGAGGAACACCGGUGGCGAAGGCGGCCUGCUGGACUGCGACUGACGUUGAGGCCCGAAAGCGUGGGGAGCAAACAGGAUUAGAUACCCCCGUAA